GGAUGUGAGGGUGAUCUGUCUGCGACACCUGUCACCCCGUUGAUCGCCAGGGUUGAUUCGGCUGAUCUGGCUGGCUAGGCGGGAGUCCCCUUCCUCCCUCACUGCUCCAUGUGCAUUCCUCCUGAAGCUGUGCGCUUGGUCUAAGAGGACGACCUUCCCCGCUAGAGGAGGACCGGUCUUCGGUCAAGGGUAUACAGGUAGCUGCGCUCCCCUGCUAGAACCUCUAAACAAGCUCUCAGAAAUAAAAUAUUUAGAAUUUUAAAAGCAAAAUGAAAAUUCAUGUUCACAAACUUCUGCACAUAAGUAUUUAUCGAUGCUCUAU
rnacentral:snRNA from 1 species